rnacentral:rRNA from 1 species
UACAGAGGGUGCAAGCGUUAAUCGGAAUUACUGGGCGUAAAGCGUGCGUAGCCGGUAGCGUAAGUCGGGUGUGAAAGCCCCGGGCUCAACCUGGGAAUUGCAUUCGAGACUGCUCUGCUAGGGUGCGGAAGAGGGAAGCGGAAUUUCCGGUGUAGCGGUGAAAUGCGUAGAUAUCGGAAAGAACACCAACGGCGAAAGCACUCUGCUGGGCCGACACUGACACUGAGAGACGAAAGCUAGGGGAGCGAAUGGG